GGGGCUGUCGGCUAGCUUGGUCUAGGCUUGGAGACUCGGGCUCUCUAAGUGCAGGGCUUUGCGCCUUGUAUGGGAAGGACCCCGGUUCAAAUCCGGGCAGCCCCA
rnacentral:tRNA from 1 species